rnacentral:rRNA from 1 species
AUUGAACGCUGGCGGCAUGCUUUACACAUGCAAGUCGAACGGUAACAGGCCGCAAGGUGCUGACGAGUGGCGAACGGGUGAGUAAUGCAUCGGAACGUGCCCAGUCGUGGGGGAUAACGCAGCGAAAGCUGUGCUAAUACCGCAUACGAUCUAUGGAUGAAAGCGGGGGACCGUAAGGCCUCGCGCGAUUGGAGGGGCCGAUGUCAGAUUAGGUAGUUGGGGGGGUAAAGGCCCACCAAGCCAACGAUCUGUAGCUGGUCUGAGAGGGCGACCAGCCACACUGGGACUGAGACACGGCCCAGACUCCUACGGGAGGCAGCAGUGGGGAAUUUUGGACAAUGGGCGCAAGCCUGAUCCAGCAAUGCCGCGUGCAGGAAGAAGGCCUUCGGGUUGUAAACUGCUUUUGUACGGAACGAAACGGUCUGGGUUAAUACCCUGGGCUAAUGACGGUACCGUAAGAAUAAGCACCGGCUAACUACGUGCCAGCCGCCGCCGUAA